rnacentral:lncRNA from 1 species
ACCACUCUAGAAUCUAAAAGAUACUUGACAGUUCAGUACAGGUCAAAUACCUUAAUAAACAUAUACAAUGGUCAUUAUAGAUAGCUGAUCUGUAACAGUGAGAAGAAAUAAGGCAAAAAAACAAUAAUAGAAAAAUUUUGGACAGCAAGAAGUUUCACUUUAAAUUACCAGACAGGCUGCUUUCACUCAUGCGCACACAUGCGUGCUCACAGAGGGAGAGAUGAGCAUCGUAGAAAAGAAACUCGAUUGCAUCAACUACUUUGGUAGUUUCACUUGCACAACAUAGUCGGAAACCAGCUUGUAUCCUGUUGCUGGCUUUUCUCAUCCUCUGUGCCUAUUUUACAAGGAGCAGGUGGUACUUGAAGAGAACUGGGGAAGGAGGAGAUCUACUUGUGUAUUGAAAUAAGACACUCUCUGUCACGCGUCAACUCUGCUAGGCUUUUGUUGGCGAGUCCCAUCGUUGUAUUCCAUAUUUGUAUGAAUGUUGGAAUUAUGAUCGAUAUCCUCUAUGGGUGAAAUCGGCAUGUUCCGUGCAGCACUCUAGUGUCUUAUUGAAGCUAUUAAAUUAAUAUCAUAUUACCGACUUUAAGAAAUACUUAUUAACUCUUUUUUUCAAAGAAAUUAUCGACUAUUUUUAGGUUA